AUCACAAUUGCACAUAUUUGAUGCAUUUCCUUUGUUUUUGGUAAUUGUUUGUCAUCAGGGACUUUUUUGUCCAGAUCUCUUAAAUUAUUCAAAUUAAAUUCACCAAAACAGUGACUUGAAUGCAGCUCUUCUAGGAUGAUGAACAUGUUUUAAAUUUCUGAGCUCGGUCAUUUUUAUAUUUUCUCUCAGACGCCGGCACGUCCUGCUGGAUUCUUUCGUCAUUACAGUGGAAACAACAUAACAUACUGUAUGCCCUAAAAAUACAUUUUAGGGCAUACAGAUAAGUGUAAUUAGAGACUAUAAAGGGUCUACUUUUAUUUGUGUACCCUCACAAUAACAACAAAAACCUAAAGCUUUUGUAAAAAAAAGAAAAAGGGUGAGUUUACAGCAGUCUCAGUUUUCUGAAACACGUCACAUAAAUGAAAAAACUCCGCGAAUACUUAUCACACAAACAUGAAACAAAUGUUUAAAGAAAGCUUAAAAUGUCUACUUUUAAAUAAAACAAUUCAAAUUUAAAACAAAUAUUCUCCUGCAAUGUAAUCUGUAUGAAACAAAGCGAUGUACAUUUUCUCCUGGCUCAGGUAAUUAUCCCUAAUGUGAUCACACCCACGGGCAGAGGGCACUAUUCAUAAGGUAAUGUAAUGAGGCGAUCAAUACAAAUGGUAAACGCCCCUGACUGUGCCUUAAAAACAUCUGGUUCAUUCACUUUUCUGCGCUUUUGAAAGAUAGAAAGAUACAGAGGCGAGGAAACUCCUGAAUAGUGAUGAAGAGUUAACAUUUUCCACAGAAGAAGAGCAGGACUCUGAUGAACGUUUGCAUUUUGAAGAGAGACUUGAUCCAGGCGAGGAUACAAUUUCGGAUCAGUAAGUAAUUUAAUUUUCAUUAGUUGACAUGCUACUUUACAUAAACAUGUACAUAUUUAACUAGUGGGACUGUUUCUAGACUUGCCAGCCAGGAUUCAGAGUAUUGAAAUAUGUCCUAAUAGGCAAGUUUUAGUUAUAUUUAAAUGCUGUUUUGGCUAAAGCAGGUAUUUAAAUUGUAUGCUGUAUGAUAUACACUCACCUAAAGGAUUAUUAGGAACACCUGUUCAAUUUCUCAUUAAUGCAAUUAUCUAAUCAACCAAUCACAUGGCAGUUGCUUCAAUGCAUUUAGGGGUGUGGUCCUGGUCAAGACAAUCUCCUGAAUGGGAAAGAAAGGUGAUUUAAGCAAUUUUGAGCGUGGCAUGGUUGUUUGUGCCAGAUGGGCCGGUCUGAGUAUUUCACAAUCUGCUCAGUUACUGGGAUUUUCACGCACAACCAUUUCUAGGGUUUACAAAGAAUGGUGUGAAAAGGGAAAAACAUCCAGUAUGCGGCAGUCCUGUGGGUGAAAAUGCCUUGUUGAUGCUAGAGGUCAGAGGAGAAUGGGCCGACUGAUUCAAGCUGAUACAAGAGCAACUUUGCCUGAAAUAACCACUCGUUACAACCGAGGUAUGCAGCAAAGCAUUUGUGAAGCCACAACACGCACAACCUUGAGGCGGAUGGGCUACAACAGCAGAAGACCCCACCGGGUACCACUCAUCUCCACUACAAAUAGGAAAAAGAGGCUACAAUUUGCAAGAGCUCACCAAAAUUGGACAGUUGAAGACUGGAAAAAUGUUGCCUGGUCUGAUGAGUCUCGAUUUCUGUUGAGACAUUCAGAUGGUAGAGUCAGAAUUUGCCGUAAACAGAAUGAGAACAUGGAUCCAUCAUGCCUUGUUACCACUGUGCAGGCUGGUGGUGGUGGUGUAAUGGUGUGGGGGAUGUUUUCUUGGCACA